AAAACUAUAAAAAAAUUGAACUCAUCAAAUCAAAUUUUUGCCUUCGUGCAAUAAAAAAAAUCAAACUUUAUUUCUUUCGUGCCCAUGUCCACUCAAUUAUUUUUCUCAAAUAGAUACUAUCGCCCAAGUGCGAGUCUGUCUUUAAAUCAACCAAAUCAUUUUUAUAAGCACCUAUUUAUAUUUUUAAUGCAUAUUAAAAAAUUUGUAGUGUAAUUUGCAUAUUUUUUUGUAUGUUAAAAUUACUAUAUAAGUAAGGGUCAUGCUAAACAGUGUCCUCGUGGCACUUGUUAACAAUACAAAGAAAGAAAAUAAAAAAUAAAAUUAAUAUUGAAAAUGCAACUUUUGAUACUUUGUAUUGAAUGCACGCAUUUCAAAGCAUAAUUUCUAUUUUUAAAUGCUUAACCAGUGCCCGGGGCACUGUUUAGCAGUUUUCUAUGCGGGAUAAAAUACGAUAGUGGUAUUGUAACUUACAUGAGACAAAUUAUGCUACUCAUUCAUAGAACUUAUAACAAUAUCAAAAUAACAAUCAUAUAUAUUAAAUAAAUCAUACUAGUUAACUCCAAAAAUAUAGGCGUAACUCGCACGGAUCUCUUACUAAUUAAAAGAGAAGGUGUAAAACAAUCUCACAUGAGUGAUAUCACAAUUACUCAACAUGUC
rnacentral:lncRNA from 1 species